rnacentral:misc_RNA from 1 species
UACGGAGGGUGCAAGCGUUGUCCGGAUUUAUUGGGUUUAAAGGGUGCGUAGGUGGGAAUGAAAGUCAGUGAUGAAAUCUCCGGGCUUAACUCGGAAACUGCCAUUGAUACUUUGUUUCUUGAAUCUUCUGGAGGUCAGCGGAAUAUGUCAUGUAGCGGUGAAAUGCUUAGAUAUGACACAGAGCACCGAUUGCGAAGGCAGCUGACUACGGGAGCAUUGACACUGAGGCACGAAAGCGUGGGGAUCAAACAGG